rnacentral:rRNA from 1 species
UACAGAGGGUGCAAACGUUGCUCGGAGUUACUGGGCGUAAAGAGCGCGUAGGCGGUCCGGUAAGUCCGCUCUGAAAGUCCGGGGCUCAACCCCGGGAGGCGGGCGGAUACUGUCGGGCUAGAGUCCGGAAGAGGCGAGUGGAAUUCCUGGUGUAGCGGUGAAAUGCGCAGAUAUCAGGAGGAACACCAAUGGCGAAGGCAGCUCGCUGGGACGGUACUGACGCUGAGGCGCGAAAGCGUGGGGAGCAAACAGG